GCCAGAGCAAACAAGCUAGCAAGCUACGGAGUUCGGCGCCAAUGUAUUUCUUGUAAAGUGUAUAAAAACGAAUAUGGAAGCUGGACAAAUAAGAUGCCAAAAACCAACGACUUUCAUGUGGUAUUAGACAGAAAAGAGGAACUUUUUUUCUCCUCCAUUUGAAAACGUGGACGUUACCAGCACUACUGUCAGUGGGGUUGAUGGGGGGCCGGUCAGUGGAUCAGAGCGGCAGGUGCAAGGAUCGUGGCGGAGCCUGCAGGCAAACUGGAGGGCUUGAACGCUCACUGCAGCGUUUAAUCACCCGACAUCAACAAGGAAAAGUAGCGUCCAUAUGAGGACCAGGUGAACAAGUUAGGACAUAAAACAUGGUCCCAAUAAGGAAAACCAUUGCAUCUAAUAGAGAAUGUCUCAUUGGCCCCCUGGUGGUGACAUCUAUCAAAAUUAGGGCGGUCCCAAAAAAAGGAGGGAUUUUUCAAAUUGACUGUGUGUCCGUUUUAAAAGUGCUCCCCCUCUGGUUAACAUAUGAAAUAACAAGUGUGUGUAAACAAUUUGAAGUGCUCCCCCUCUGGUCAACAUAUGAAAUAACAAGUGUGUGUGAAAAUCUGAAGUGCUCCCCCUCUGGCCAACAUAUGAAAUAACAAGUGUGUGUAAGAAAUUGAAACGCACCCCCUUUGGCCUAAAUUAAUUAAAAAAAAAAAACGUAUAUACAGACAUACUGUAAUAACUUUAAGUAAAUAAUGAAGAAUAAAAAAAAU